UAAUGAGAACAAUAAUAAUUUAUUUUUAUUUUUAAGUAUUAAACUUGUUUGAUGCAGAGUGAAAUAUUUACUACCCCUUCCUCUUGUUCCCUGCUUCCACCAAACUAUAAAUAUAUGCCUGGCUGAGAUCGAGCAGUGAGUAACAAGAUAGAAACUCUCGACUAACUUCCGGGUUUCGGCAAAGGAACGCAUGCUGGAACGCACGCGUCAUCGGACGUCGGACGUGAUGACGUCAUAAUAUCGGGAAAUCAGCCCGGAUAACAGAGAAGAGACACCUGUAAAAUAUUAUUCAUUAUGUGGACACUGAGG